AACAUCGCGCACCUGCGGGAACCUGCGGAAGGAUCAUUACCGAGUGAGGGCCCUCCGGGUCCAACCUCCCACCCGUGUUUAACGAACCUUGUUGCUUCGGCGGGCCCGCCUCACGGCCGCCGGGGGGCACCCCGCCCCCGGGCCCGCGCCCGCCGAAGACACCUGUGAACGCUGUCUGAAGUUGCAGUCUGAGACACUAGCUCAAUCAGUUAAAACUUUCAGCAAUGGAUCUCAGAUCGG
rnacentral:misc_RNA from 1 species